GCCCCGCGGCAAGAUGGCGGUCUGAAGGCAGUGGGCAGCGGCAGAAACUGAAGACUCAGGGGCCCCAGGGAUUGGAAGAAAUCACAGUGCCUGCUUGGAAAGAAGAAGAGGUAGCGACUUGCCCCAGCUCAACCCCAGAGCGGGUAAGGUGGCCUCCGUUGACAGGCUGGCAUGCUCCCUGGAAGCAGGAUGCAUGGGCUCCGAGUGAUGCUGAAAAUCAUUUAUUUUGAGAAGGGCGCUCUUCUCUAGAGGCUGCCUUUUGCCUGUGGUCCCUAAGUUAGUCUUCUGCUUAGAUCUCACGCUGAUUUGUUGAGAGUUGGGUGUAGUACUGAGCCUUGUAUGCCUUCACCUGUGCAGGCGAACGUGGGCAAGAGCCUAGAGAUCAGACUGAAAAUAUUUUAACACAUCCCUGUCACAAGCAGUUUCCUUCACGGUCACUGUAUUUUCUUUGAUCUCCCCAUCACAUCUUCAGUUUGGUCUCCUGCCCAAAGUGGAGAUUUGUGGGUGACAGAUGGUGGGCAGCCAUAAGAAAACAAACUUCUGGUUGGUGUCCAUUAACCAUUUAGGCACCUGCUGUCACCGAUUCCUGAAUUCAUUCUUGCCACAUGUCUGCCUCUUUUGAUCUUUUCUUUUGGUAAGAAGGGCUCAUUUAUUUGGGCCCGUGUUAUUUGGGGAUGUGGAUUUGGUGCCUAGGUUGGGUCAGAGGAGUGAGGCAGGUAGGUUGGGAUUAGGGAGGAGAAACCCAGAUCAGUUUAUAGUAAGAGGUCAGGCUGACUGGUACAAAGCUCUGCACAUGUUUUUCACAUCAUUCUGUUCCUGAGACCCCUGAUAUUUGAGAGUUGCUUUACAACCUGGAGCAGUGUGAUGCAAGGAAAGGCUUGUAGAACUUGCCUUUUUCUCUUCUGGUAGUUUUUUUCUUCUUUCUUUAUAUCUUCCUAUCAAACGAC
rnacentral:lncRNA from 1 species